AUUGAACGCUGGCGGCAUGCUUUACACAUGCAAGUCAAACGGUAACAGGGUGCUUGCACCGCUGACGAGUGGCGAACGGGUGAGUAAUGCGUCGGAACGUGCCGAGUAGUGGGGGAUAACGCAUCGAAAGGUGUGCUAAUACCGCAUACGUACUGAGGUAGAAAGUGGGGGACCUUCGGGCCUCACGCUAUUCGAGCGGCCGACGUCUGAUUAGCUAGUUGGUGAGGUAAAGGCUCACCACGGCGACGAUCAGUAGUGGGUCUGAGAGGAUGAUCCGCCACACUGGGACUGAGACACGGCCCAGACUCCUACGGGAGGCAGCAGUGGGGAAUUUUGGACAAUGGGCGCAAGCCUGAUCCAGCCAUGCCGCGUGUCUGAAGAAGGCCUUCGGGUUGUAAAGGACUUUUGUCCGGGAGCAAAUACCCAGUGCUAAUAACGCUGGGGGCUGAGAGUACCGGAAGAAUAAGCACCGGCUAACUACGUGCCAGCCGCCGCAGUAAAAC
rnacentral:rRNA from 1 species